rnacentral:misc_RNA from 1 species
UGUCAACAAUCGACAAUAUCGAGGGAAAUUGGAGAAGGGUGCUGUUUUGAAGGCUAUUUGUGCUGGUUUUGAGGAGACUACUGAGCCUGCAGUUUGUCUGAGCGAUGAUGUGGAGACAAAUGAAUGCCUGGAUAAUAAUGGUGGCUGCUGGAAAGACAAGGCUGCUAAUAUCACUGCCUGCAAGGACACAUUUCGUGGUAGAGUCUGUGAAUGUCCUGUGGUUGAUGGUGUUCAGUUCAAAG